GGAAGUGGUAGGUUAGUGGUUAAGAUGUUGGACUUCUGAUUGGAAGAUUGUGAGUUCAAAUCCCAGCACUGCCA